rnacentral:rRNA from 1 species
AGNUCGUACGAGAAGUUUUUAACUCUAGUGGCGGACGGGUGAGUAACACGCUGAGAAUUUGCCUUUAGGAGGGGGAUAACAAUUGGAAACGAAUGCUAAUACCCCAUAUGCUUUCGAGUGAAAUGGAUUUAUAUUUAUCCGCCUAGAGAGAAGCUCGCGGCUGAUUAGCUUGUUGGUAAGGUAAGAGCUUACCAAGGCGACGAUCAGUAUCUGGUUUGAGAGGACGAUCAGACACACUGGAACUGAGACACGGUCCAGACUCCUACGGGAGGCAGCAGUGGGGAAUUUUCCGCAAUGGGCGAAAGCCUGACGGAGCAAUACCGCGUGAGGGAAGACUGCCUAUGGGUUGUAAACCUCUUUUUUCAGGGAGGAAUAAAAUGACGUGUACCUGAAGAAUAAGCAUCGGCUAACUCCGUGCCAGCAGCCGCGGUAAGACGGAGGAUGCAAGUGUUAUCCGGAAUCACUGGGCGUAAAGCGUCUGUAGGUGGUUUGAUAAGUCAACUGUUAAAUCUUGAGGCUCAACUUCAAAAUCGCAGUCGAAACUAUUAGACUAGAGUAUAGUAGAGGUAAAGGGAAUUUCCAGUGGAGCGGUGAAAUGCGUAGAUAUUGGAAAGAACACCGAUGGCGAA